GAUUUUGAGUGUUCUCUGGGCUUCAGGGAGGAUAGCUGCCCAGUGAGGGGUCACCGCCAAGGUGCAUCCACCUUGCCCUGCUUUGGUCCUUGGCCUCCUGAGGCUUGGCCCAAGAUGGAACCCUGCUUUUCACUCCCUUGCACUCUUUUUUUUUUUACAGUACUGGGGUUUGAAUUCAGGGCCUAAACCUUGAGCCACUCCACCAGCCCUUUUUUGUGAAGGAGUUUUUUGAAAUAGGACCUCAAGAACUAUUUGCCCUGGCUGGCUAUGAACUAUGAUCUUUUUGAUCUCUGCCUCCUGAGUAGCUAGGACUACAGGCAUGAGCCACUGGUGGCUCCCUUGCACUCUUGAAUUGAGCCCCACAGCUCAUAGAUCUGUGGGAUGAGCAGCUGAAAGACUGUGCUGAUGUUAUUGUUGAUCUUGACUGAGGUUUCAACAUAGUGAGCCUGCAAAGGGGCAACCUCCUACUCCCCCUCCCCUGGCGUCACCUGAUGCUUAGCCCACCAGGUCUCUCUUGUGACCUACCUCCAGGGUGAGGAUGCUGAAGAGUUUUAGCUUUCUCCAGAACUUCCUGCUGCCAUGGGCAAUGCUGUCAAAGGAUGUUCUGUUGGUGACAUCAAAGCAAGAGGCUCCAGCUGAGUUCUGAUAGCAUGAGCAGGUUACUGACUCGGCAGCCAAGAAAGAAUCCAGAAUUACUUUUGAGUCCUGCAUUGAGGACAGAAGGGAACGGGGAACUGGGGAAAUGUGAAUGAAAGAGCUGAGUAGUCAGAAGACUUCAGAUCAGCCGUGUGACAGAAGAUGGAAUCAUGAUGCUGCCAGUUUCCAGCAGUCUCCAAGAGAAAGGGAAUGGAAAGGCUGGAGUCCUGGUGGAGGGGCUGUAACCAUCUAAAGGAGCAACAGCAACAUCUCCGUAACUUCUGGGGGGAUUUGUCCUGAAAGGUAUUUGAAAUAGCUCACUGAGAAAUAUUUGAAGAAGGGGUUGCAGAGUGGCUCACACAGCAAGAUCACUGC
ensembl:lncRNA